ACUACAUAAUGCAAAGGAGUUAGCCGCUCCCUUCCUUUGACACGUACAAGGUCCCCAUCAAGUUGUAGAAGCUGACGCACCAACUCAAUAUGCCCAUUUUGUAGAGCAAGGUGAAUGGGACUAAACCCGUUUGAAUCUAGUUUCCGAAGGCUUUAAACUCAUCAACUCUAGGGCAAAUUGGAUGUUCCAACAGGAUGCAGCUAUGUGUAAAGGAGUAUUAAUAAAGAGAAAACGUUAUAUCCGGAGCUGGCAGAAAAGGGGCUAUUUAUGCCACCAAUCAGGAGUUGCCAUGUCAGAUACACAUUGAGGCCUCAGUACACUCUAUCACACAGGAUUGUAGCUCAAACAAAACCAAAAUCACCAAACACGUUUUGUUUAGAAGAAGCCCUUACCUGGAGGAAAAAGAGAGUCUGGUGCCAAUGCCUCCUCUCCUCUGAGUCUAACCAACGGAGCUCCUCCCCGCCUCUUCUUAGCACUGAAUCUCCACGCCUCCUUCGGAAUCUGUGCUGGAACUUGGAAAAUGCGCCGGAGCCACCGUGAACGUGGUGUCACAACCUCAAGAGUUAGAGGGACUCCUAUGGCUCAUGCCUGUCAUGAUGUUGUUUGAGUUGUGUCAGAAGCAAGGGAAGCAGGUUGACAUUAAGUAUUGGAAGAAUGGGGAAAAGAAUGUUGCAACUGUAUAUGUCGAUGGUAAGUUUAUCGCUUCAGGUUCUUCUAAGAAGAAGGAAACUGCAAAGCUUAAUGCAGCAAAGCAAGCUUUGCUCAAGUUAUCGGAAUCUAUGCCCGCUAAUGUUGGGAGGCUAGAUUUUUCUUUUGGACUCAAUAAGUCAUUUGAGAUUGAUGGAGCAAAGCAGAAGUUACAUGAGCUUUGUGGCAAGAAAAAAUGGCCUAAGCCUAUUUACGGGUACAAGCUUCUUUACUAUGAGCAGUGAAGCAAUAGAGUGUGUGUGUGUGUGUGUGUGUGUUCUGAAUUAUUUGAUGAUGAGCCUGUUAGUUUUGUGAGUUGAACCACGAUCAAGCCUCCUGUAUUCUCUCUCCCCCUCCCUCCCUCCUCUCUCUCCCAUAGGCCAUAGUUUAUGAUUUAGAAUUUCAUAAGGAUGGCAUGGAAUGUUUUGAAGAGCUUGAUUACUGGGUUCACAAUGAUUGGAACUAGGAAUACUGAUCUCUAUGCCUUGAGAAACAUGAGGGUCCACCACAUGACAAGAAAUAUGUAUAUAGAGGUAGAUGAAAAGUCAAGAGUAAAGGAAGCACAAAAUUCUGCAGCUUCCUGGAUUAUUCGUGCCUUACAAGAAUCUAAUUAUCUAUGAUGUUGCUCCUUUUUUAGAAGAAUAUCAGUGAAGAACAGUUAGAAUGGUUAGGUUUAGUUUAGAAGAAUAUCAGUGAAGAACAGUAAAAAUGACUUGGUUAAUGGCUACAGCUAAAAUACAUGGAAUACUUUAUGGAAUUGCAAGUAGACCCAUGUGAUAUAGGGGUUAAAUGAAUUACGUUCACUUGAUUGCUUGGACAUGAUUAGUUUAUGCCACUAGAUUUUUAACUAAAUUGUACCUAUUUAACAGUUUAACAAUUAACACUUACAGUAUAAAGUGAAAGUUCCAUCUGUA